rnacentral:rRNA from 1 species
AGCACCACAACAGGUGGAGCCUGCGGUUUAAUCGGACUCAACGCCGGGAAACUCACCAGAUAAGACAGCUGAAUGAUAGUCGGGCUGAAGACUCUACUUGACUAGCUGAGAAGAGGUGCAUGGCCGUCGUCAGUUCGUACUGUGAAGCAUCCUGUUAAGUCAGGCAACGAGCGAGACCCACGCCAACAGUUGCCAGCUCGUCCUCCGGGAUGGUGGGGACACUGUUGGGACCGCUCUGCUAAAGAGGAGGAAGGAAUGGGCAACGGUAGGUCAGCAUGCCCCGAAUUAUCUGGGCUACACGCGGGCUACAAUGGGUGGGACAAUGGGUAUCGACACCGAAAGGUGAAGGCAAUCUCCUAAACCCAUCCGUAGUUCGGAUUGUGGGCUGCAACUCGCCCACAUGAAGCUGGAAUCUGUAGUAAUCGUGUCUCAAAAUGGCACGGUGAAUAUGUCCCUGCUCCUU